ensembl:lncRNA
GUAAUGUGUGUGUGAGUGUGUGUUUAACAGUUAACGCGGCAGGGAGUGGACAGAAGGGCCAAGUGUGACAGGUGGACAGGCAUGAUAAGGAGAGAGCGGUGCAGCCCAGCGCUCAGCAGAAGCAGACCCCAGGAGAAUAUCCAGCCAAAAGCAGCUAAUAGCUGAUACUCAUCAGAGAUAGAGCCACUGAAGAUUUCCUUUCUCUGUGGAAUAGUCCGUUCAUUCAGCUCCAGCCCAAAUUCUCCUCCCUAAAAAUGUGAAAAGAUGUUGUUAAUCAAGUUUUAUACAACAGAACAGUUAAUGUUGGGACUGAAGGACUGUGCCAUGAUCCGAUGAAGAGUAUAUCGAGACUUUCUGCUUUACAGAUUUCACAUCAGUGUCUCAAUGCAAACUCAGCAAUGUUGUAACUCCAAGAAGAAGGCAUGGGACACGAGCAACCCACUAAAUGUGUGUUUACACUGCUGAGCCCACACUUAUAAUUUUGUGAAUUCAAGCGGCAGCCCUAUGUGAGACCAUUUCAUGAAACUAAGAAAUUUUCAGGGACGAAAAGGAAAAUUCAGAGGGAACGAGAAUAAUAAAUGCAAAUUAUGAAUCCGUUUACCAAACACCGGCAAGAGGAAGUUCACAGUCUUCAAGGCACCAAAUUACACCAUUGAUCCGAACCCAAAAUGGCUCCAUGUCUGGCAUUUUCAGAGGCCGUUUCCAAGUCAAUGUCAUCCUAUCUGCCUUAAACUAAAAGAGACAAAUACGACUGGAAUAAGGUAAAGAUGGAGUGGUUGUCUUGCUGUUGUGCUGGUAUCAGACAUGGGCUCUUCAUCAGAUGACUAAUGGAGUUGUGCAGCUAACCAGGAGGCCCAAGGCUGUUUGUUAGCUCCUAACAAGGUGAACCAGCUCCUACGGAACAGCACACUAGCGCUGAAGGAUUUAUUAUAGAUCUGCGUGUCCGCGGGCCAUGAACAGUAUAGCGCCGGUCUCAUUGUAGUGGGUCCACCACACUAGCAGAGGGUUUAGAUCAUUAUUGCCUCAUUGUUUUGAUACAAUUUUGCAGAGCGGAUGAUGGAUGGAUGGAUAAUCGGAUGAGUAAAGGAGUUUUGGUAGCCUAGCACAUGAGGGUAAUGGAUGGACUGCAAAAACACACGAAAAUGAUAAGGAAAAGUGAGUUUUGAACAUGUUUUAUGGUGGAAUUUGGAAAAACAUUUUCAGUCUUUACACAUUUAGAUAGUUGACAUUGUUGAGUAGUUGACAGUGAUGUACUGUAGUAUGUUAUAAUUCACCUAAAGUUAUAUUAAACAGCAUUGUUUUUAAUAAUUAUAUAUUCAUUUAGAAAGACUUACUUUCUUAUUUAGUUACAUAUAAAAAAUACAAAUUAAAAAAAAAAAAUAUAUAUAUAUAUAUAUAUAUAUAAAUAUAUUUACAUUUUAAAUAUUUGAUUUGCACAUUUAGUAUGUGUGUGUGUUUUUUUAAUUGUACAAAUUUAAAAAUACAAAAACACUAAAACAUUUAA